rnacentral:rRNA from 1 species
GAUGAACGCUGGCGGCGUGCCUAACACAUGCAAGUCGAGCCAUUCUCUUCGGGGAAGAGCGGCGGACGGGUGAGUAACGCGUGGGUAACCUGCCCUGUACACACGGAUAACAUACCGAAUGGUAUGCUAAUACGAGAUAAUAUGCUUUUAUCGCAUGGUAGAAGUAUCAAAGUUUUUGCGGUACAGGAUGGACCCGCGUCUGAUUAGCUGGUUGGUAAGGUAACGGCUUACCAAGGCGACGAUCGGUAGCCGACCUGAGAGGGUGAUCGGCCACAUUGGAACUGGGACGCGGUCCAAACGCCUACGGGAGGCAGCAGUGGGGAAUAUUGCACAAUGGGCGAAAGCCUGAUGCAGCAACGCCGCGUGAGCGAUGAAGGCCUUCGGGUCGUAAAGCUCUGUCCUCAAGGAAGAUAAUGACGGUACUUGAGGAGGAAGCCCCGGCUAACUACGUGCCAGCCGCCGCCGUAAAAC